AUGGUUGAAAUGAUUAGGCUUCUUCUAGCUAUCCUAGUUUAGCCUGGGCUGGAUAAUAAUGGUUGAAAUGAUUAGGCUUCUUCUAGCUAUCCUAGUUUAGCCUGGGCUGGAUAAUAAUGGUUGAAAUGAUUAGGCUUCUUCUAGCUAUCCUAGUUUAGCCUGGGCUGGAUAAUAAUGGUUGAAAUGAUUAGGCUUCUUCUAGCUAUCCUAGUUUAGUCUGGGCUGGAUAAUAAUGGUUGAAAUGAUUAGGCUUCUUCUAGCUAUCCUAGUUUAGCCUGGGCUGGAUAAUAAUGGUUGAAAUGAUUAGGCUUCUUCUAACUAUCCUAGUUUAGCCUGGGCUGGAUAAUAAUGGUUGAAAUGAUUAGGCUUCUUCUAGCUAUCCUAGUUUAGCCUGGGCUGGAUAAUAAUGGUUGAAAUGAUUAGGCUUCUUCUAACUAUCCUAGUUUAGCCUGGUCGGGAUAAUCCUACAUCCUCUUUGCUCAAGCCGAAACAUAGCUUUAGUAAUUCUCUUCUAUUUUCCCAUCUAUUGUGUUCAGUUGGUCCGAUUCCGUUGACAGCGGCAAUAUGGAACACUGCGGCUUGUUCGUGUCUGCUUCCUGGUCACAUGACCACCAUAUGCAUGGGGAGAGAGCGAGCGCAGAUCAACAUAUUUCCUGCUGGACGAAGCCUCAGGCAUCUUCUUUAAAAAAUAUAUAUAUAUAUGUUUUUACUCUAUAACCCAAUGCAAUUACUUUCUGUCCUUAGCCUUAGGGUUCCACAAAAACAGGAAGUUACCUUUCACAGUAUACAGGUGAGUUAGGUGGAAGCCGCUCCUACUCCUCAGAAUAAUCAGUUAUAAACAGUUAUACCUUCCGCUGACACGCCAAUGCUCAGACUGGUAGUUUGUGUAUCAACAGAGGCCUCGGACUUGAUCAGGUGUUCAUCUGUCUGGAGCUACUGCAGUGACUACUUCCUGUGAUCAGGUGUUCAUCUGUCUGGAGCUACUGCAGUGACUACUUCCUGUGAUCAGGUGUUCAUCUGUCUGGAGCUACUGCAGUGACUACUUCCUGUGAUCAGGUGUUCAUCUGUCUGAAGCUACUGAAGUGACUACUUCCUGUGGACACAGCUACUGUAUAAAGGGCUGCUUGAAGGUUUCCUAGCGAUCACCAGAGUUUCUGUCUGCUGUGUUAGAUGGAUGGACAUGAAGGCCAUGAUACAGUCUCAACAGAAUCGACUGAGAAACAGGUAAGGCUGUAUAAAGGGCUGCUAGAAGGUUUCCUAGCGAUCACCAGAGUUUCUGUCUGCUGUGUUAGAUGGAUGGACAUGAAGGCCAUGAUACAGUCUCAACAGAAUCGACUGAGAAACGGGUAAGGCUGCGAACUCCAUUGACAGCUGUCAGUUUUAUAUUAUUAUCACAUUUGUAUUUCGACAUUAUUUUUCUACAUGUCUUCACCGUCAUGUUGUCAAUAUGUCUCAUAUCAAAUGGAAGUGUUUUUCAUGUUUAAGGUAACGGGAAGUGUUUUUAAUGUUUAAGGUAACUGGAAGUGUUUUUAAUGUUUAAGGUAACUGGAAGUGUUUUUAAUGUUUAAGGUAACUGGAAGUGUUUUUAAUGUUUAAGGUAACUGGAAGUGUUUUUAAUGUUUAAGGUAACUGGAAGUGUUUUUAAUGUUUAAGGUAACUGGAAGUGUUUUUUAAAUGUUAGCUGGAAGUGGUUGUUUAAUGUUUAAGGUAACUGGAAGUGUUUUUAAUGUUUAAGGUAACUGGAAGUGUUUUUAAUGUUUAAGGUAACUGGAAGUGUUUUUAAUGUUUAAGGUAACUGGAAGUGUUUUUAAUGUUUAAGGUAACUGGAAGUGUUUUUAAUGUUUAAGGUAACUGGAAGUGUUUUUAAUGUUUAAGGUAACUGGAAGUGUUUUUAAUGUUUAAGGUAACUGGAAGUGUUUUUAAUGUUUAAGGUAACUGGAAGUGUUUUUAAUGUUUAAGGUAACUGGAAGUGUUUUUAAUGUUUAAGGUAACUGGAAGUGUUUUUAAUGUUUAAGGUAAC